CGAGCUGUUCAGGUAUUUUAUUUUUUACAUGAUGACGACUAUUUAACUCUACCUCAGGUCUAUAUUCUAACUCUUUCAGAACUUUCCCUUCUAUUAGGCUGCAAGAAAGGCUGCAGAGAAUGCUGUUCUCCUUGCCCGGGUAGAUGAGCAGGUAAAUAAGGCUGUCGCUGCUGCAAAUAGAGCUGCCAUUGCUGCUAGAGUUGCUGCAGUCAAAGCCAUCCAGAACCAGAUGGAUGCAAAGUUUUAUUACACAAAUAUGUAAGGUUAUGCCUCAUUUAAUUUGUAAACUUGUGGAGAGCUAGCAAUCAGGCAGGCAGAUUCCUACCUGAUCUGAGUUAAAGAAUGAAGAGUGAGAUAAGAAACUGACAACAGAUGCUUGGGAUCUGGUCUACAGACCCACAAUCCCUCCCAUGUCUGUAAUAUGUACAUAAGCCCACAUAUAUGUGAUCUGAAUUGAGUUUCUCAGAGCUGCUGUCUCCUCAUGUUCUCUUGUUUUCAACAUCUUGUGUAGUUCCAAUCAAAAUCAAAAUACUGAAAGCAAUGGUGGUGAAAC
rnacentral:lncRNA from 1 species